rnacentral:rRNA from 1 species
GACGAACGCUGGCGGCGCGCCUAACACAUGCAAGUCGAACGAGAGAUGAGGAGCUUGCUCUUCAAAUCGAGUGGCGAACGGGUGAGUAACGCGUGAGGAACCUGCCUCAAAGAGGGGGACAACAGUUGGAAACGACUGCUAAUACCGCAUAAGCCCACGGCUCGGCAUCGAGCAGAGGGAAAAGGAGCAAUCCGCUUUGAGAUGGCCUCGCGUCCGAUUAGCUAGUUGGUGAGGUAACGGCCCACCAAGGCAACGAUCGGUAGCCGGACUGAGAGGUUGAACGGCCACAUUGGGACUGAGACACGGCCCAGACUCCUACGGGAGGCAGCAGUGGGAAUAUUGCACAAUGGGGGAAACCCUGAUGCAGCGACGCCGCGUGGAGGAAGAAAGGUCUUCGGAUUGUAAACUUCUGUUCUUAGUGAAGAAUAAUGACGGUUAGCUAAGGAGCAAGCCACGGCUAACUACGUGCCAG